GCGAGGACUCAGUUUCGUGUCGGGUGGACCCGGGUCGGUCGUUUCCGUUGGUCACGCGACCAGCGUUGCGUCUUCGGGCGUGAUGUUGAUUCGUGUGCGCCACGGCGGCCGUCCGGGCUAUGUUCAUCCGGCCGGACCGAUUUUCCUCGCCGCAGUGGAACGUCGCGACUCGCUG
rnacentral:rRNA from 1 species